GUGCUCACUUUGGCAGUACAUAUACUACAACUGAAACCAUACAGAGAAGGUUAGUAUCACUUCUACUUAGGGAUGGCAUGCAAAUUUGUGAUGUUUUCCAUAUUUUU
rnacentral:snRNA from 1 species